UAUUUUUUUACGUUUAACAGGCGUGGACCGUUGGAAUGAGAAACACGUGCUUCGCUUCAGCUAAUACUCCCGUCAUGAUAAUGCUGGUAUCAGAUGGGUGACCACAAAUUCACCAGACUUCAUGUCAGAAGACCAUAACAGUCUUGAUAGAGAUUGUUUGUACCACGGGGGUAUUCACAAUUAUACACCGGACCAGUUGCUUGAUCCGAGAGUAACUUCAUGAACUAAUGUCCAUUGAUGGCCACAGUGAAGUGUUCAAGUGGAGAAGCAAUUGGAUGCAUAAUGGCUCAUGCUGUACAAGCCAGCCCAGCAGAUUUCAGCAAACCCGUUUUAAUGAAGGCUUAUUCAAAACAUUUGACCAGUUGAUGUUCCGGCAUCCUGUAUUCAGACUCCUUUCUCCAACCACAAGCAGUUACAUUAACUGUGAUUGGAGACACAUUGCUUGUACUUGGUCAUUUUAUCUGUCAAAUUGUUUGCAUACUCUUGGCUUAUAGCAGGCAUUUGUUAUUUUUAAACAAUAAAUUCAAACUAUGAACCCAUAAC